UGGGGGAUAUUGCACAAUGGGCGAAAGCCUGAUGCAGCGACGCCGCGUGGGGGAUGAAGGCCUUCGGGUUGUAAACUUCUUUUGCUCUGAACAAGGCGCACCAUGGGGUGUGUUGAGUGUAGGGGUUGAUUAGCGCCGGCUAACUACGUGCCAGCAGCCGCGGUAAUACGUAGGGCGCGAGCGUUGUCCGGAAUUAUUGGGCGUAAAGGGCUUGUAGGUGGCUGGUUGCGUCUGUCGUGAAAGCUCAUGGCUUAACUGUGGGUUUGCGGUGGGUACGGGCUGGCUUGAGUGCAGUAGGGGAGGCUGGAAUUCCUAGUGUAGCGGUGGAAUGCGCAGAUAUCAGGAGGAAUACCGGUGGCGAAGGCGGGUCUCUGGGCUGUUACUGACACUGAGGAGCGAAAGCAUGGGGAGCGAACAGG
rnacentral:rRNA from 1 species